AGGAGCUGACUGAGAUUUCAGAACAUCCUGCCAUGCCCAUCACUGCAAGUUGUGAUCCUUUGUUUACAAGCUCUCCUUUCCCAUUUAACUUCCCUGCAUGUAAGGAGUCGCCAGUGACAGUGUCACUCCGUAGCUACUUCAACCGGCACAUCCUCUUGGUGUUCCCCACAGCCAGAAGGAUCUUCCAGGAUUCGCCUCUCCUGCUGCUGUUCAACAAUUUAGCAAUCAGUGGAGCCAGGGAAAUAAAGGGAAAGGAGGCCUCAACAUCAUGAAGAUGUCAAUGCUCCGUAACUCACUUAUAGAAUUAUCUAAGAUGAGAAGAUUCGUCCCACAAGUGACGGCAUUCACUGAAACCACUGAAGCUUGACAAAUAAAAAUGACCACCAUUUAUGGAGAGAUUCCUCUGUUCCAGAGUCUACGGAGCAGCAGCAUUUGCAUCAUCCAGACCUGCUGAACCGAAUCUGCAUGUCAACAAGAUCCCAGGGGAAUUCGGACGGACGGACUCACACUGAAGGUUGAGAAGCCCUGCUCCUGGCCAUCCUGGCCCGGGCAAGGUGACUCCUACUGCCACAGACCUCUACUCCCCGCCACAGCACCACCAAGGCAAUGCCCACAGAAGCACAGCACUCAAAACAGAGGACCCAGAUGUUAACCAGAAAUGAUUCUUCAGC